rnacentral:rRNA from 1 species
UGGGGAAUUUUGGACAAUGGGCGAAAGCCUGAUUCAGCAAUGCCGCGUGUGUGAAGAAGGCCUUCGGGUUGUAAAGCACUUUUGUCCGGAAAGAAAUCCUUGGCUCUAAUACAGUCGGGGGAUGACGGUACCGGAAGAAUAAGCACCGGCUAACUACGUGCCAGCAGCCGCGGUAAUACGUAGGGUGCAAGCGUUAAUCGGAAUUACUGGGCGUAAAGCGUGCGCAGGCGGUUUGCUAAGACCGAUGUGAAAUCCCCGGGCUCAACCUGGGAACUGCAUUGGUGACUGGCAGGCUAGAGUAUGGCAGAGGGGGGUAGAAUUCCACGUGUAGCAGUGAAAUGCGUAGAGAUGUGGAGGAAUACCGAUGGCGAAGGCAGCCCCUUGGGCCAAUACUGACGCUCAUGCACGAAAGCGUGGGGAGCAAACAGGAUUAGAUACCCUGGUAGUCCACGCCCUAAAACGAUGUCAACUAGUUGUUGGGGAUUCAUUUCCUUAGUAACGUAGCUAACGCGUGAAGUUGACCGCCUGGGGAGUACGGUCGCAAGAUUAAAACUCAAAGGAAUUGACGGGGUCAUAGCUGUUUCCU